GAUGAACGCUGGCGGCGUGCCUAAUACAUGCAAGUCGAGCGAACAGACGAGGAGCUUGCUCCUCUGACGUUAGCGGCGGACGGGUGAGUAACACGUGGAUAACCUACCUAUAAGACUGGGAUAACUUCGGGAAACCGGAGCUAAUACCGGAUAAUAUAUUGAACCGCAUGGUUCAAUAGUGAAAGACGGUUUUGCUGUCACUUAUAGAUGGAUCCGCGCCGCAUUAGCUAGUUGGUAAGGUAACGGCUUACCAAGGCAACGAUGCGUAGCCGACCUGAGAGGGUGAUCGGACACACUGGAACUGAGACACGGUCCAGACUCCUACGGGAGGGAGCAGUAGGGAAUCUUACGCAAUGGGCGAAAGCUUGACGGAGCAAAGCCGCGUGAGUGAUGAAGGUUUUCGGAUCGUAAAACUCUGUUAUUAGGGAAGAACAAAUGUGUAAGUAACUAUGCACGUCUUGACGGUACCUAAUCAGAAAGCCACGGCUAACUACGUG
rnacentral:rRNA from 1 species